rnacentral:sRNA from 1 species
AAGUAACUUAUUAAGGGAAAAUCUAUGGUUGCCUGAAUUUUCAGCUCAAUACUAGUUACAAUCUCAGUUUUCCACUCCAAACUUUUUGUCAAUUAAAAAACCACCAAAAAAACUUUAAACUCAUAAAACUACACGUAUUUUUGGAUUUGUUCUUAAAACUAUACCUCCAACUGAACCUAUCAGUUAACAAGUAGUCAAAGGUCAUAUUUAUGAUUACCGAAAAAUGUAUGUUUUGUUUC